GGAUUGUGGCUCAGCGGUAGAGCGCUCGCUUAGCACGGGUGGGACAUGGGUUCCAUCCUCAGCACCA
rnacentral:tRNA from 1 species